UACAAAUCAUGCUGAAUGGAAAAGUUUAGUAUCUCUAGAUGAUUUCGAUGAUGAGACAGCAGACGAUCAAUGACUGAACUGGAGGAUGCUGUUUUACUAGGUACAAGAUAUGUGAAGACAUUUCUUCAGUUUGCUGCAACGUUUCAGGCAAAUACCUUUUCGCUGGAUCCAAAGGUCCACAGGGCUCCAGGAUUUACUCUUGUCGCUGACCGUCCGUCUUACUUUACGGUUGGGUAAAACUGGUGUACCUAUAAGAUGGCCGGGUUGUGGCCUAGCUUGGCAUUGUUGCAUCCUACCUAUACGUACACGGCUUUGCCGAUAGACAAUAUACAGCCCGAUCUGGGUGUCCUUCCUUGAUUUGCUUCGAUCCCACCUGUAGAAAUCGAAUUGAAAUCGACUUGGAACCCACUUGUUACUGUUCAAGAGGGUUGUUUCCUCUGUUUUUACGCUACUCUCCCAAACGCUCAUUCAUGCACUUUUCCUUGGGUUGUA